rnacentral:rRNA from 1 species
CAGCCGCCGCGGUAAUACGAAGGGUGCAAGCGUCACUCGGAAUUACUGGGCGUAAAGCGUGCGUAGGUGGUGGUUUAAGUCCGUUGUGAAAGCCCUGGGCUCAACCUGGGAAUUGCAGUGGAUACUGGGUCACUAGAGUGUGGUAGAGGAUAGUGGAAUUUCCGGUGUAGCAGUGAAAUGCGUAGAGAUCGGAAGGAACAUCUGUGGCGAAGGCGACUAUCUGGGCCAACACUGACACUGAGGCACGAAAGCGUGGGGAGCAAACAGGAUUAGAUACCCCUGUAGUCCCUGUCUCUUAUAC